rnacentral:rRNA from 1 species
UGGGGAAUAUUGCACAAUGGGCGCAAGCCUGAUGCAGCCAUGCCGCGUGUAUGAAGAAGGCCUUCGGGUUGUAAAGUACUUUCAGCGGGGAGGAAGGGAGUAAAGUUAAUACCUUUGCUCAUUGACGUUACCCGCAGAAGAAGCACCGGCUAACUCCGUGCCAGCAGCCGCGGUAAUACGGAGGGUGCAAGCGUUAAUCGGAAUUACUGGGCGUAAAGCGCACGCAGGCGGUUGAUUGAGUCAGAUGUGAAAUCCCCGGGCUUAACCCGGGAAUUGCAUCUGAUACUGGUCAGCUAGAGUCUUGUAGAGGGGGGUAGAAUUCCAUGUGUAGCGGUGAAAUGCGUAGUGAUGUGGAGGAAUACCGGUGGCGAAGGCGGCCCCCUGGACAAAGACUGACGCUCAGGUGCGAAAGCGUGGGGAGCAAACAGG